CAAAACUAUAUUUAUUGUGUUCGUUCGCCGUGAAUAUCCGUCAAUUUGUAAAGAACGCGUCGCUUGUGUUUCAUCCGUCAAAACCUCCGCGGUUCGUUUUCAUGUUCUUUUCUACUGCGUAUCCCCGCGGUAGGUAUUUAUGGUCGCGAAACGUUUUAAAUCGAAAUUUAAUAUAAGAUUCUGUCGUUUUAUUCCCGGGAUUCCAUG